rnacentral:tRNA from 1 species
GCCUGGGUGGCUCACUCAGUUAAGCAUCCGACUUCAGCUCGGGUCAUGAUUUCGCGAUUUGUGGGUUCGAGCCCCACGUCGGGCU